ensembl:processed_transcript Nctc1 non-coding transcript 1
ACUGUGGGUCCCCAGGUCUUAGAGAGAUGUUCAAGGAUGGAACAGGGAUGGAGAUAAGCAUGAAAGCCAAGCAGAAGGACAUCUCUCAGAACUAGCCCUCCUCUCUCAACUCCCACCACCAAAGCAGAAGACCACUACAGUCCAGAACCCAGCACGGCCACCAUCAUAGCUUGGCUGACCAGCUCAAGACAGAGCCACAGAGCCCCAUUGUACCCCAGGACCCACAAUAGGACUGGACUCUAGGCUUGUCGCUGGCAAUGGACAUUCUUUGAUACAGCAAGGGAGAUGGAUUCCAGGUCUAGAAUUAACCCAACCACCACACCAGGACUAUCAAGGUCUUACUUGAACAAGAGACUCCCGUCCCAAGAGGUGCCACAGCCAGGCUCCAAAUCCCCAACCCUCUUAGGACUGGGGCUACCACCGGGGUGUUGGCCAUGUCUAGGGAGCCCUUCUCCUUGGGCUUGCCUGCCCCUGCUGGAAGAGAGAGGAAAUAAGCUGCUCCUGGAUAGAUGGGGUGCUCCAGCCAUCUUGCCCUUCACUGGCCUUCAGGGGGGUUGUAUGGGUGAAAAGGUCAAAGAGAGGCAGAGGAGAAGGUGAAGGAAUCUCAGAGCAUGGAGGGGAGGCUGGAUGCUGCAAAUGGUGAGAAGGAAGCAGUGACAAACAUGGCUGGGUCUAGCACACAGUGCCCUGGAUAGCCUAACUCUGUCUUAGCCAGCUCUGCCUCUGAAGGAGUGCUGUGCCUCACUGGCUAACUUCUGACUGCUACUUGUGAGAUUUGUGGAUAGUGCUGACCAGCUAAGCCCCAUGGGCCAAACCAGGUUCCAAGGGACAGGAAGGAACUCAGUGCUCAGUGCCUGGCCUCAGGCACUGCCGAGCCAUCUCCCAUUUCCAGGGCACCCGGGGACGGGCAAGGCCUGGAUGCUCAGCCGGGCUACUGGCUGUUAUUGGGGGAGGAGGUUAAGCAUCUAUGCUCCUCUCCAAUGCCUCUACCCUGAUCAUUUAACUACUUUCUCACUUCAGCCUCCCAGGUCCUGAAGAAUACAUCUCUUAGAAACUGAAGGGAAGGAUCCUCCACAUUACACUCCUAUCCCUGCACCAACCCCAGAAUGCUCUUCAGUUCUCAGUCACAGAAGAAAGCUAGAUUUCAGGGCCAACUAGCUCCUUCCAGGACAAGAAGGGUGGGUCUAGGUAGUCCCACUCACCCAAGUCCUGGCAGGAAGGGGGCUAUGGAGUUGCGGAAACAGUGAGAACUAGUGGGUAGCAAGCAGAUAAAAGUCAUGCUUGUACCCUUGGCUGCUCUCUCUGGCCAUGUACAUCAUCCUCGGUGACUCGAAUCCUGCCACCUCCUGAGGCUUGAGCUGAGAGUGAAGCUGGAGAAGGCCACAAUUGGAGCAACAUCUGGGAAAAUGGGCACAAACCUGGAGACAAAGAGGGUUCAGGGAAGGUGCCCUGCUCAAAGGACAGCCAGCAUCCUUGACCAUGGCACAUUGGUCCUUAGGGGCCAAGAAUGCACAGUCCCCUCAGCAGAAACAAAAGCAUAUAUCCACAUAACCAAUCUGAAUAACAGCAUCAGUCCUGAGAUCCAGAUGGUAGCUAUAAUUCCCAAGCCCCCUGACAUAUGAAUAAAACAGUCCACCCAUGCCACGGAAUAUUACUCAGUCCUGAAAAGGAAGAAAAUUCUACCCUCUGCCUUGGAUGGAUCUUGAGGGUACUGUUUGAAGAUAGGAAAGACAGAUCUUCUGUAAUAUCACUCAUGUGAUGUCCCUAGAGUUACCACAUCCAUAAGGAGGGAGGAGGUAAGAUGUGGGUGCCUGUGACUGAGAGGGGUAAGGAGUGGGGGCGGUGCACAGCCAAAAGUGAGAGUUUGUAAAAAUGCACAUAACUCUGGCAACACCAUGGAAGCCACUGGUUCACACACUGAAGAACAGUCUGCACAGGGUAGAACCCGUACCUCUGUAAAACUGUUUAAAGGGCAGGCAUGAUGGGGUUGGGGGAGAAUGUUCAGCAGGUAAAGCCACCGGCCACCACACCUGAUGAACUCAGUUUGAUGCCCUGGAAGUAGAAAAUGGAGCCCUGAAACUUGUCCUCUGAUUUCCACACCCCUUCACACGUAAUAAAUAUGUCAAUG